rnacentral:rRNA from 1 species
AGUGAACGCUGGCGGUAGGCCUAACACAUGCAAGUCGAACGGCAGCACAGUAAGAGCUUGCUCUUACGGGUGGCGAGUGGCGGACGGGUGAGGAAUACAUCGGAGUCUACUUUUUCGUGGGGGAUAACGUAGGGAAACUUACGCUAAUACCGCAUACGACCUACGGGUGAAAGCAGGGGAUCUUCGGACCUUGCGCGAUUGAAUGAGCCGAUGUCGGAUUAGCUAGUUGGCGGGGUAAAGGCCCACCAAGGCGACGAUCCGUAGCUGGUCUGAGAGGAUGAUCAGCCACACUGGAACUGAGACACGGUCCAGACUCCUACGGGAGGCAGCAGUGGGGAAUAUUGGACAAUGGGCGCAAGCCUGAUCCAGCCAUACCGCGUGGGUGAAGAAGGCCUUCGGGUUGUAAAGCCCUUUUGUCGGGAAAGAAAAGCAGCAGGUUAAUACCCCGCUGUUCUGACGGUACCCAAAGAAUAAGCACCGGCUAACUUCGUG